UACGGGGGGGGCAAGCGUUGUUCGGAAUUACUGGGCGUAAAGGGCUCGUAGGUGGCCAACUAAGUCAGACGUGAAAUCCCUCGGCUUAACCGGGGAACUGCGUCUGAUACUGGAUGGCUUGAGAUUGGGAGAGGGAUGCGGAAUUCCAGGUGUAGCGGUGAAAUGCGUAGAUAUCUGGAGGAACACCGGUGGCGAAGGCGGCAUCCUGGACCAACACUGACACUGAGGAGUGAAAGCCAGGGGAGCAAACGGG
rnacentral:rRNA from 1 species